GACGUAGGGCGCGAGCGUUGUCCGGAUUUAUUGGGCGUAAAGAGCUCGUAGGCGGCUUGUCGCGUCGUCCGUGAAAACCCACGGCUUAACUGUGGGCUUGCGGUCGAUACGGGCAGGCUGGAGUUCGGUAGGGGAGACUGGAAUUCCUGGUGUAGCGGUGAAAUGCGCAGAUAUCAAGUGGAACACCAGUGGCGAAGGCGAGUCCCUGGACAACUCCUGACACUGAGGCACGAAAGCUAGGGGAGCAAACAGG
rnacentral:rRNA from 1 species